UGGGGAAUUUUGGACAAUGGGCGCAAGCCUGAUCCAGCAAUGCCGCGUGCAGGAUGAAGGCCUUCGGGUUGUAAACUGCUUUUGUACGGAGCGAAAAGGCUUCCACUAAUACUGGGGGCUCAUGACGGUACCGUAAGAAUAAGCACCGGCUAACUACGUGCCAGCAGCCGCGGUAAUACGUAGGGUGCAAGCGUUAAUCGGAAUUACUGGGCGUAAAGCGUGCGCAGGCGGUUAUGUAAGACAGAUGUGAAAUCCCCGGGCUUAACCUGGGAACUGCAUUUGUGACUGCAUAGCUAGAGUACGGUAGAGGGGGAUGGAAUUCCGCGUGUAGCAGUGAAAUGCGUAGAUAUGCGGAGGAACACCGAUGGCGAAGGCAAUCCCCUGGACCUGUACUGACGCUCAUGCACGAAAGCGUGGGGAGCAAACAGG
rnacentral:rRNA from 1 species